rnacentral:lncRNA from 1 species
CUCUUACUGAAGCUCUUUUCAAAGGCAUGCAUUCUGCUAAUCGAAAUUCACUCAACUGAGGCUGCCCUUUCAUAAACAGUUCUAGACAGAUGACUUCUCCCUCAGAUGGAUUCCCAGAUAAUCAGUUAGUUAAGUUUUCCUGUCCCAGACUUUGACUUUUUUCUUUUUUUUUUUUUGUUAUGGGUAUUCAACAUGAUAAUAUCAUGAAGUAAGUGCAGCCUUGGUUGUAGGUUAACUCCUCAUUUCAAAUUUCAAGAUGAAGAGAAUAGCAGACAAGCUAUGGGAAGGGUGCUCUGCAACCUCGGAUUUGAAGCCUAGAAAAGGAAGUCUCUGGACCUGAUAAAGCUGUUACUUUUGAAAACAAGCUUAAGUCAACAGGACUUACUUCAGAAACUCCAAUAAUCCUAUGGAGCAGCAAACUGCAAAGAAAUAUCUUGACAGAGUAAUAUUUUUAAUCUCCAAAAAUAUUAUAUUGCCUAUGGGCACUGGGUUAAACAACCCCUACGGGGCCUGCCUAACCAAUUCUGUGUAACCAAUCCUUAUAUCUCCAAUGUGAAUACAUCUUUCUCACAGAUGGAUAACAGGUGCUCAGCUGUUGGAAAGGACAAGGAUUCAUGGGCCUGGAAGGUUCAGUGCUUUUGCAAUAUGUUCCCACUGAACUUGAUCAUCUGUGGCCCAGGCAGACACACUGGACCGGAUCUCUAUGCCAUAUACAGAAGCUAAGGGAAGAUAGCUUCACGCUGGAAGUACAACCUUUACAGAAGCUUACAGAUUUUUUACACGUUCUUUGGAGACUGACUUGUGCUUGCUCCUCCUAGUCUCAAAGUAUGCUUGAUGAUUGUGCAAGGGGAAUGCCAAAGUGAAAUGAAGCUGCUAUACUUCGUUAUCCAGCAUUUAAAAGGAGAAAGAAAGGAAUCCUUUAGGAACAAGUCAAGGGUACUCACAUAACUGAGUAUUAUUAACAUAGGGCUUGUUUUGAGUGAGAUUACAUUUUAUUUAAUAUUAAUGCUAUUACCUCUAAUAAUAAUAAAUGUUAGGAGAUAUUAUUUGUGGAGACAGUCAAUGACAGUGGAUAGAUAAGCUGAGAAACUCAGUUAUUUUUUAAAGCAGAUAAACAACAGUUGUGCAACACAAUAUAAAAAAAACAAAUGUAUUUAUUCCGUUGAUUUGGCUACAAUAACUUGAACUACUCCUUGCUAGUUAUGAAGAUUAGUUAAUGUACUUAUUUGUAUUACAUGUUCAAACAAAAAAUGUGUGUAAAAAUAUUUUAAAG